rnacentral:rRNA from 1 species
UUAGAUGUCCGGGGCCGCACGCGCGCUACACUGAAGGAAUCAGCGUGUGCUCUCCCCGUCCGUCAGGACUGGGUAACCCGUUGAACCUCCUUCGUGAUAGGGAUAGGGGCUUGUAAUUGUUCCCCUUGAACGAGGAAUUCCCAGUAAGCGCGAGUCAUAAGCUCGUGUUGAUUACGUCCCUGCCCUUUGUACACACCGCCCGUCGCUACUAGCGAUUGAAUGAUUUAGUGAGGCCUUCGGACUGGCGCUCGGAGCGGGUUCCGGCCCGGGCCGACGUGCCGGAAAGAUGUCCAAACUUGAUCAUUUAGAGCAAGUAAAAGUCGUAACAAGGUUUCC